CCUACGGGUGGCAGCAGUGGGGAAUAUUGGACAAUGGGGGGAACCCUGAUCCAGCCAUGCCGCGUGUGUGAAGAAGGCCCUCGGGUUGUAAAGCACUUUCAGUGAGGAAGAACGCCUGGUGGUUAAUACCCAUCAGGAAAGACAUCACUCACAGAAGAAGCACCGGCUAACUCCGUGCCAGCAGCCGCGGUAAUACGGAGGGUGCGAGCGUUAAUCGGAAUUACUGGGCGUAAGGCGCGCGUAGGUGGCUUGAUAAGCCGGUUGUGAAAGCCCCGGGCUCAACCUGGGAACGGCAUCCGGAACUGUCAAGCUAGAGUGCAGGAGAGGAAGGUAGAAUUCCCGGUGUAGCGGUGAAAUGCGUAGAGAUCGGGAGGAAUACCAGUGGCGAAGGCGGCCUUCUGGACUGACACUGACACUGAGGUGCGAAAGCGUGGGUAGCAAACAGGAUUAGAUACCCCGGUAGUC
rnacentral:rRNA from 1 species